AGAGUUUGAUCCUGGCUCAGAACGAACGCUGGCGGCGUGCCUAAGACAUGCAAGUCGUGCGGAAAGGCUCCUUCGGGAGUACUCGAGCGGCGCACGGGUGAGUAACACGUGGGUAAUCUACCUGAGGGUCUGGGAUAACUCCGGGAAACUGGGGCUAAUACCAGAUGAGACCACAGCGUCCUCGGACGCAGCGGUCAAAGAUGGCCUCUCCUUGGAAGCUAUCGCCCGCAGAUGAGCCCGCGUCCCAUUAGCUAGUUGGCGGGGUAACGGCCCACCAAGGCGACGAUGGGUAGCUGGUCUGAGAGGAUGAUCAGCCACACUGGAACUGAGACACGGUCCAGACUCCUACGGGAGGCAGCAGUCGGGAAUUUUGGGCAAUGGGCGAAAGCCUGACCCAGCAACGCCGCGUGAGGGAUGAAGGCCUUCGGGUCGUAAACCUCUGUCGGGAGGGACGAAAGGUCGGCGGUCGAAUAGGCCGAAGGCUUGACGGUACCUCUAGAGGAAGCGCCGGCUAACUCCGUGCCAGCAGCCGCGGUAAUACGGAGGGCGCAAGCGUUGUUCGGAAUUACUGGGCGUAAAGCGCGUGUAGGCGGCCAGGUAAGUCGGAUGUGAAAGCCCGGGGCCCAACCCCGGAACUGCACCCGAUACUGCCUGGCUGGAGUCCCGGAGAGGAUGGCGGAAUUUCCGGUGUAGAGGUGAAAUUCGUAGAUAUCGGAAGGAACACCAGUGGCGAAGGCGGCCAUCUGGACGGUGACUGACGCUGAGACGCGAAAGCGUGGGGAGCAAACAGGAUUAGAUAC
rnacentral:rRNA from 1 species